ACGCUAUUUAUAACUUAUCUAUGAUCGGGAAAUAGACCUUGGGAAGUCCCUCCAUGUUUGUAAGUUAAUUCGGAAAUGAUAUCCAUCAGGAGACAAGUACACGGACUUGACUUACAAACGAACAUGGAGGGGCUUCCCAAGGUCUACUUCCCGAUCAUAGACAAGUUAUAAAUAGCUU
rnacentral:pre_miRNA from 1 species